UCGCAAAUAUUAGAUCUACACAAAACAAAAUCCUCCCACUACACAAAACCCUCCCGCCACUCUUUCUCCAUUCAUUUCCUUCCCCUUAUUUUUCUCCAUUCUCUUAAUCUAAACAAAAAACCUAAAUCUCGGCCAUGAAUCUCGCAUAGCUGCCAAAAUCUAAGAACAGUGGUGUGAUUCAAAUAUGGAACGUGAAGGAGAAGUGGUCUUAUAGCUUGUUGGUUUGAGCAACUCUCUUUGGAUGUUAUGCGCAAUAAAGUCGAAUGAGGAGAAGUCAUCUAAGCUUGAGACAUUUUCUGAUGCAGAUUUUAGUUAAUGAGUCUAUAGGGUUAUAUUUGGCUUGCUCAUUGCUGUUCCAAUUGGAUUAGCAUACUACUUCUUGCUGGAUUUAUAAAGAAAGGCUAAGGAGAACCAUGGAAAUCUCCCUCCAUUUUGGGACCUAUUUCUCAAGACUCAUAGGCUAAAGGACUCAUACGAGUUAUGUUCACAACAAGCCAAAGAAAUUGAGGAGAGGGUUUUGGCAAGGGCUGAAGAGUUGCGUGCUGAAGGGGAAGAUCCAGAUUACGAUGCAAUCUUUCUCGAGCUUUUUGGGAGGGUUAAGAAAAGGAAACAGGUUCCUGGAGUUGGGCAAGCGACAAGCUUGUAUUUUCCAUUUGCUACCAGCUCAGUUGAGGGCUCUGCAUCUUCCGGCUCGUCAUGCCUCAGCACUGAUCAGGUUGAUGAGCUUUUCGAGCGACGAGUACAGCCUUUGCAUCAAGAGAUCGAAGAAUUGCGGGAGCUAGUAAAAGUCCUCAGUCAGCAAGUUCAAGCAAGUUCUAGAGUCUAGAAGUGGCUAGUAGUAUUUGAACUAAAUUGUGGAAACUAGUAGUAUUAGAACUUAAUUUGUGAUUUGAUUUAAUUGAAGUGUGAAACAAUAUUUUGUAUCUAUGUAAAAUUUGAAUUUUCGUCA